rnacentral:rRNA from 1 species
GACGUAGGGCGCGAGCGUUGUCCGGAUUUAUUGGGCGUAAAGAGCUCGUAGGCGGCUUGUUGCGUCGACUGUGAAAACCCGCAGCUUAACUGCGGGCCUGCAGUUGAUACGGGCAGGCUAGAGUUCGGUAGGGGAGACUGGAAUUCCUGGUGUAGCGGUGAAAUGCGCAGAUAUCAGGAAGAACACCCGUGGCGAAGGCGGCUCUCUGGGACGGUACUGACGCUGAGACGCGAAAGCGUGGGGAGCGAACAGG